GCGGGUAUGGUUUAGUGGCAGAACGCAACCUUCCCAAGGUUGAGAUACGGGUUCGAUUCCCGUUACCCGCUCCA
rnacentral:tRNA from 1 species